rnacentral:lncRNA from 1 species
GUCUUGGAGGCUAUGCCCAUGGCUCAGAGCUAUGUCUGCCCUGCUUCCGGAGGUGGAAGAACUACUUGAAUGCGGAGGGUGGCAUGGCAUGGCAUGGAGUUUUGCCUUCAACUCAAGUCUGGAGUCCUUUUCCUUCGUCUGGGUGCAGGUUGGUCAUGAUGCGAUACAGGCCAGCUACUGAACUAACGUUGCAGCAAUUUGGCGUGGCUUCUACUAUCACGAGUUUGGCCUUUUACCUGAGUGAGCUUUGCUUUAUCUCCAAGCUCUUAUUAACCAUCAUUCACUAACUUGAAGCAGUGCAGGUUUCCGGUAACCUCAAUGAAGAUGGAAGAGAUUGGAGGUGGGUGAGGAUGCUUAUAGAAAAUGUGAAAUCUUUUACUAGAUUGAAGCCUUUUGGAACUUUUGAGGAUGUUGUGACUGCUCGCAUGGUCAGGUGGCAAAAGCUUCCCAAUUAGAAUGGCAAAACGCAAAGGCUAAUUAUAUAUUAUUUUUAUAUAUUUAGACUCAAUUAGUAUCAUGAUUUUUAUAUUUUAAAAAAUUAUAUUAAAAUUUUAUAGUUUUGAAAGUAAAAUAAAUGACUUCAUUUAUCAUAACGGUAUCAAGUGCACUGAUGAUGAUGAUG